rnacentral:rRNA from 1 species
AUUCCUACGGGAGGCAGCAGUGGGGAAUUUUCCGCAAUGGGCGAAAGCCUGACGGAGCAACGCCGCGUGAGGGAUGAAGGCCUCUGGGCUGUAAACCUCUUUUAUCAAGGAAGAAGAUCUGACGGUACUUGAUGAAUAAGCCACGGCUAAUUCCGUGCCAGCAGCCGCGGUAAUACGGGAGUGGCAAGCGUUAUCCGGAAUUAUUGGGCGUAAAGCGUCCGCAGGCGGCCCUUCAAGUCUGCUGUUAAAAAGUGGAGCUUAACUCCAUCAUGGCAGUGGAAACUGUUGGGCUUGAGUGUGGUAGGGGCAGAGGGAAUUCCCGGUGUAGCGGUGAAACGCGUAGAUAUCGGGAAGAACACCAGUGGCGAAGGCACUCUGCUGGGCCAUCACUGUCGCUCAUGGACGAAAGCCAGGGGAGCGAAAGGGAUUAGAUACCCCUGUAGUCCUGACCGUAAACGAUGAACACUAGGUGUCGGGGGAAUCGACCCCCUCGGUGUCGUAGCCAACGCGUUAAGUGUUCCGCCUGGGGAGUACGCUCGCAAGGAUGAAACUCAAAUGAAUUGACGGAAUCUC